CCUACGGGGGGCAGCAGUAGGGAAUAUUGGGCAAUGGGCGCAAGCCUGACCCAGCGACGCCGCGUGAGGGAUGAAGGUCUUCGGAUUGUAAACCUCUUUCAGUAGGGAAGAAGCGAAAGUGACGGUACCUAAAGAAGAAGCACCGGCUAACUAUGUGCCAGCAGCCGCGGUAAUACAUAGGGUGCAAGCGUUGUCCGGAAUUAUUGGGCGUAAAGAGCUCGUAGGUCGUUUGUCGCGUCGAUUGUGAAAAUCUGAGGCUCAACCUCAGACCCGCAGUCGAUACGGGCAAACUAGAGUGUGGUAGGGGAGACUGGAAUUCCUGGUGUAGCGGUGGAAUGCGCAGAUAUCAGGAGGAACACCAAUGGCGAAGGCAGGUCUCUGGGCCAUAACUGACACUGAGGAGCGAAAGUGCGGGGAGCGAACAGGAUUA
rnacentral:rRNA from 1 species